GCCUGGCUGGCUCAGUCAGUAGAGCAUGUGACCCUUGAUCUUGGGGUUGUGAGUUCGAGCCCCACGUUGGGUA
rnacentral:tRNA from 1 species